CGAGAAAGGCUCCUUCGGGAGCUGAGUAAAGUGGCGAAAGGGUGAGUAAUGCAUAGACAACCUACCCCUGAGAUGGGGAUAACGCUUCGAAAGGAGUGCUAAUACCCAAUACUGUCUCGACUCCGUGGAGUCGAGAUGAACGGAGGCCUCUGACUCAAGCUUUCGCUCAGGGAGGGGUUUAUGUCCUAUUAGCUUGUUGGUGAGGUAAUGGCUCACCAAGGCAGCGAUGGGUAGCCGACCUGAGAGGGUGACCGGCCACACUGGGACUGAGACACUGCCCAGACUCCUACGGGAGGCUGCAGUCGAGAAUCUUCCGCAAUGCGCGCAAGCGUGACGGAGCGACGCCGCGUGGGUGAUGAAGGCCUUCGGGUUGUAAAGCCCUGUCAGUUGCUAGGAACCGCAGGUGGUGAAUAGCUGUCCAGUUUGACGUAAGUAGCAAAGGAAGCACCGGCUAAAUACGUGCCAGCAGCCGCGGUAAUACGUAUGGUGCGAACGUUGUUCGGAAUCACUGGGCCUAAAGAGCGCGUAGGCGGUUGGGUAAGUCAAACGUGAAAUCCCCCGGCUCAACCGGGGAACUGCGUCUGAAACUGUCCAGCUAGAGUGCAGGAGGGGAGAGUGGAAUUCCUGGUGGAGCGGUGAAAUGCGUAGAUAUCAGGAGGAACGCCGGUGGCGAAAGCGACUCUCUGGCCUGCCACUGACGCUGAGGCGCGAAAGCUAGGGGAGCAAACGGGAUUAGAUACCCCGGUAGUCCUAGCCCUAAACGAUGGGCACUAGGUAGAGGGAACUCCGAUGUUUUCUCUGCCGGAGCUAAUGUAUUAAGUACCCCGCCUGGGGAGUAUGGUCGCAAGGCUAAAACUCAAAGGAAUUGACGGGGGCUCACACAAGCGGUGGAGCAUGUUGUUCAAUUCGAAGCAACGCGAAGAACCUUACCCGGGUUUGACAUGCUUGGGGCCGCCUAGAGAUAGUUUAGUGCCUUCGGGAACUGAGUGACAGGUGCUGCAUGGCUGUCGUCAGCUCGUGUCGAGAGAUGUUGGGUUAAGUCCCGUAACGAGCGCAACCCUUAUCCUUAGUUGCCAGCAUUUCAUGGUUGGAACUCUAAGGAGACUGCCGGUGACAAACCGGAGGAAGGUGGGGACGACGUCAAGUCAUCAUGGCCCUUACGACCUGGGCUACACACGUGCUACAAUGGUCGGUACAGAGGGUUGCAAGGCCGCGAGGUGGAGCUAAUCCCAGAAAACCGAUCCUAGUCCGGAUUGCAGUCUGCAACUCGACUGCAUGAAGUCGGAAUCGCUAGUAAUCGCGAAUCAGAAUGUCGCGGUGAAUACGUUCCCGGGCCUUGUACACACCGCCCGUCACACCAUGGGAGUGGGUUGCAAAAGAAGUGGGUAGACUAACCUUCGGGGGGUC
rnacentral:rRNA from 1 species